rnacentral:rRNA from 1 species
AGUGAACGCUGGCGGUAGGCCUAACACAUGCAAGUCGAACGGCAGCACAGGAGAGCUUGCUCUCUGGGUGGCGAGUGGCGGACGGGUGAGGAAUACAUCGGAAUCUACUCUGUCGUGGGGGAUAAGGUAGGGAAACUUACGCUAAUACCGCAUACGACCUACGGGUGAAAGCAGGGGACCUUCGGGCCUUUGGCGAUUGAAUGAGCCGAUGUCGGAUUAGCUGGUUGGCGGGGUAAAGGCCCACCAAGGCGACGAUCCGUAGCUGGUCUGAGAGGAUGAUCAGCCACACUGGAACUGAGACACGGUCCAGACUCCUACGGGAGGCAGCAGUGGGGAAUAUUGGACAAUGGGCGCAAGCCUGAUCCAGCCAUACCGCGUGGGUGAAGAAGGCCUUCGGGUUGUAAAGCCCUUUUGUUGGGAAAGAAAUCCAGCUGGCUAAUACCCGGUUGGGAUGACGGUACCCAAAGAAUAAGCACCGGCUAACUUCGUGCCAGCCGCCGCGGUAA